CUGGCAGAGGUGGUUGGGGCUAUGUGCCUGGAGUGAAGAUUCUGCCCAUUGGUCAAGAGACCUCCCUCUCAGAUGCUGGCUCUGCCCCUGCCUUUGGGGGUCGACCCUUGUACUCGCAGGACCUUAGGUGACUCUGACUUUGUCAAAGGAAAAAUUUCUGCAUGUGCACACACAGAUCUUGGAAGUUUAUUCAUCUCAGCAGAGGCAGACAGGAGCAUCAACAGCCUUGGGGACAGCAGCAGUGGUGGCAGGGCAAAAUAAAACUUAUAUGAAACUGCAAUCACUAAUGUGUGAAAAUGGAAGAUUCAGGAAGUGUUUCAUAUCUGAAAUAUGAACCCAACGUGGAAUCAACAUGCAUCCAAACAGGACUAAAUGUGCAAACCCAAGGCAAGAUUAAAACUAUAAAUAUUUAGCAAUUUGGCAAAUUGGUCAUUUUGGAGACUAGCUUUUAGCAAAUUCAUCAUAUGUUUAAUUGAUUUCCAGUAAAUUGGCUGCUUCCAUCAAGGUUGCCUUGGGUGACUAUGUCCAAGCAACCAAAUUGCUCUCUUUAAAUGCAAAAAUCAGUAAAGAUUCAUCUCUCUAAAGUAAGUUUGAAAUUCUUGCAAUAUUCAGAUUGACUUGGCAACUAUCUGAUGGGUUACCUCUUUGUGUCGCCCUGACAUCCUUAAUGUAGACACAUAUGCAUACUAGAAUGUUGAUUCAUUAAUCCACAGAGAAAACUGUAACUACUAAGAAGACUAGAUAUUCAUGCUUGAGAAUGAGUGAUUCUGUUUUUGAUGGCAAACCUCUGACAUACAAUACAUGGUGGCCUAUUCCUACAACAUUCAGAAUAAAGAAUAAGGGAGCUGGGUGCAUUGGUGUGCGCCUGUAAUCCCAGCUACUUGGGAGGUUGAGAUGGGCACAUUGCUUGCUCCCAGGAGUUUGAGUCCAGCCUGGG
rnacentral:antisense_RNA from 1 species